ensembl:lncRNA
AUGUAUAAAUGCUGGAACAAAAGGACAACUUCCUUGAAGCUUGGCGUAAUUGCAAUAAUAGAGGGCUUCAGUGACAUACUGAUGGGUCCGGCAUUCUACCGGAAUAUAUUUCCCACAGCUUCUCUGUCUCGACGUAGGCUACACGUAAAAGGGAUUUGCACUUUCCCAGGUUAUUCCAAGCCUGAAGAAAGGAAUGUAGAGCACACGGCAUGACACUGAGCUGUGACACAGUCAAAUAACUGUUGCGAAACGAGGAGCGUGUAUGUGCGGCUGUGUGGGCGCGCGCCUCGCGUGAGUGCGUGUGCGCGCGCUCUGUGCGGGGCCUGUCGGUACUGUAGCAGCACAGAAUGGUUUGUGAGUUAUAACGGGGGUGCAGGCCGUACUGUGCUGCGGCAAGAACGACAGGACAGACGUGCACUUCAGAUUCAGACGGGUGAAAAGACAGAAGAGAAAGGUCUAGUAGGCGAAGACAACAACAGCAGCAAGACUACGUGUGCCUGCGAGCCUCCUGAACUUGGCCGUGUGACUGACUGACUGGCCGCCUGGCUGUAGCAGCACGUAAAUAUUGGAGUCAAAGCACUAGCGAAUCCUCCAGUAUUGACCGUGCUGCUGGAGUUAGGCGGGCCGUUUACCGUCUGCGGGGGCCUCUGCGCUUCGGGAUUCCUCAUCAGGAAAGCACAAGAAGAUUAACGCCUGACUGAUAACAUACUGUCCAAAUGCCGGUGUUCUGAACGCUUUUAAUCUGAGAACCGUUGACAUGAAAUGUGAUAAAACAUCAAAUAAGCCGUUUAUGUAAUUUGUUUAAAUGAAUUUAAACAAUUUAUGUACAUGCAAAAAUGCAAUAAAGUAAAAUAAAAAAACA